CUCCCGAGUAUCUGGGACUACAGGCACGUGCCGUCACCCUGACUAAUUUUUAAUUUUUUGUAGAGACAACAUCUUGCUAUCUCAGUUAGGUUGAUCUCUGGCUUCAAGCAAUCCUCCCCCUCAGGCCCCUAAAGUGCUGGGAUUACAGGUAUGAGCCACCACCCUUGGCUAGGCAAGGUUAGUUUCAACUGAUUAAAUAUUAGUGUCCUUUACCCACAGCCUGAAGAGUCACCCCGUUGAGCUCAUCCUAUACAAGCUGAACCUGAGUCAACUUUAAGACCAGUGAGUAUAAGAAUAGAUGUAUGUGGCUAUAAAGCACUGAGUUUGCAGUGGUUUGCUACAUAGCAUUAUGUUGCAAUAGCUGUGUAACACCACUGGAAAAGGGUCUUUACAGACAUGACUGUAGAAUUUUUUUUUCUCCUAUAUUUAGGAGAAAAAAAAGUCUCUACAAUAGAAAGCUCUGUCUCAUCACUUUCUGCGUUUUAUCUAACGGUGUUGUUCUCGCAUAAUCUGCAAUAGCAACACCACUGUGUUUUAGGAUUUUAAGGAGUCAUAAGCACAUGCUGUAGGACACUCUCUAACAUCACCACUGUUUUUUCCUUUCAUUUGAGAAGGACAUUUCAUUAAUAAGCAGUGACUGUUAUACAAGUUACAUCAAGAUCUGUGUGCCUCUUUCCCAAAAGAUAAAUUACAAGCAUUGUUACAAAAAUCAGAGAGUAUGUAUUGUUUGCAAAAUUCUUAUGAGAGGAGUCCUUCUUUGCCCAGAAUUAUGUUUGCUUGCCUCUCAAUGUUUCCACUGAGUUAUGAUAAGAUGUCACUCAGGACCAAAAGUUUCUGCCCUGGGGGGUGUAUAAAAAAGUUAUUAAUAGACCAUCUCUCCAUGGAAGCAGGAACCCACAGAACUUUGCUGUGGAUUGUGGACUCCAAGGACCAAAUGAACCACACUCUCUUGGACGUUCUGGCCUUGGACAGCAAGGGCACUGUGCCGAGAGCGGGAAGCAGUCUCUAUUGACAUUGUCCCGGACAGUGAAUAAAGGCACAAGUUCCUUGAUGUACGCAUUCUCUCUCUGUGACUACCAUGGGCUUCGCAGCUCACCAUGCACCAGGGGAACUGCUCCUGUGCUCAGGGACCCUCCGAUGACACACACAGGCCACCUCUCUUUGGCCCGAGUGUCUGCACAUCUAGGAUUAUAUAUUACCUGGCUCGAGAUGAUGGCUGAAUGGAUAAACGAACGAAUGAAUGAACUGUGAUAUUCAAGAUUCUCAUUCCACUCUCAUUAUAAUUGGCCAGUGUGUGUCUCAGAACAUUCUGGGCGGAACCUCAUGUGUUUUUAACUUCACCUCUUAUUUCAAACACUGCCGUGGUGCCCAGUCCUGUGCAGGCUUCUACUACCCUUGCACACACACACCCUGACGACAUCUUGCUUUGGCCAUGUAACUCGUUUCUGGCCUCAAGGCUACGUCGGUGCUGUGACAUAGGAUUGCCCUGGGAACCACGGGGCACUCAGGGCUAUUACAAUAUCAAUUCUUGUAUCGCUCAUCAAUCAACAACAAGAUGAUAGAUCUCCUUUUAUCUUAAAAAGAAGAGUCUAGAGAAACAGAGAGAUAUUUCUGAGGAAUAAACUGAUAAUGAGGGAGAUAUUAAGUACCCAGUACAGAACUUUCUCUAAAAGCUCAGUAAUGACUCAUCUCAUGAAAAGAAGCAAGUGUGAGAAUAGAAGGCUAUUUUACAAACUAUGUAAAAUUAGUAGGUCACUGGUGAACAACAUUUAUGAGCAAAACAAAAUUCCCAUGAAAAUUACCAUCAUAUGCUGUCAUGUCUGCCGUUCUAUAUGUCAUUAAUAUUACUUAAGAAACAAAUAUUUAUUAAAGAUGAAUCAUGUACUCAGCACUAGCAAAUAAAGAGGAAAUAGAGAGUAUAAUAUUUAUUCUUGCAAAAAUAGCAUUAACAUAAAUUAGAUAACAGAAAAUAAGAGAACGUAAUCUUAAAAAUAUUAUGUAGCAACACAGAAAGACACAUAUAAUUACAUAUAUACAUUCAAACAAUGAUAAUAUAUAAUUUAUAAAUUAUGAGGUAUGGAAAAGUUCAAUUCUGAAAACCAACAUAAUCAGGAAAAGCUUAGUGAAGGACACGAGAUCUGUGCUGGAUCCUGAAGGACAGGCAGGUAGAGCAUGUACAAGCAGGGGAAAGGACUUCCUGACCAGGGAUAUAUCAUAUUUAAAAACUAGGAGGCAGGGCUGAGCAUCAUGUGUUAAUGGGACAGUGAAGAGAUCUUCCUCUGCAGAUUAAAAAAAAAUAAUAAUAAUAAUGGGAAGCUGCAUGGUUAAAAGAUUUGACACUUAAGGUAGAGCAGACAGUAAAGGUCUCAAAGUCGAGGCAUAGGGGUACAAUGAAAACAUAGAAAAUAGAUAGUGAAAAACUAUUACACAAGGGAAUAAUAAAGAUUUGUAAAUUUGGCACAGAGGAUGGAUUAAAACAGGGAGGACUGCGUUGAGGGACGUUAGCAAGAAGGCUAUGCAGUUGUGAGGGCUUGGACUAAGAUGCUGCAGCAGAUGGCCAAGAGCAAAAGUCAUGUUCAUAGUUGAAUACAUGGAUGAUCUUAUCAACUAUGAAGUACAUGGUUUUUUUUUUUAAGAUAAAAGUGCAGUAGAGAAGAAAAAAGCAUGUAAUAAUUUUAAGAGUAGUAUGACCUGUUUUUUUCCUCCUUUCUGAUUAAUUUUUAAAUCACUUUUCUUAAGUUAACAAACAUCUCGACAUCAAGACAGCCUCCUCAGUUCUUUUGAGUUUCAUAAAAAGGGGGAUUCUCCAAUGAAGACAUUUUAGAACUAGAGGGACUCCCAUUUGCAAUCUGAAGAAGAUUCCAGAAUAUAUUCUUUUACAUGUACUUCACAGCAACAACAAAAAUAAAUAAAUGGGACUUGGUUAAAUUAAAAAACUUCUGCACAGCCAUGCAAACA